UUUUCUUCUGUAAAAAAUUCUUCCAAUAAUUCCGACACCAACCUUUUCAAAAAAUGCACACAGUACUUUUGUGUUUCCGAGAAAGUGAAGGUUAGUAGAAGAUUAAUUGAUAUAUCAAAUCAAAAUGAACUCACAUUAUUAUUUAUUAUUACUGAUAAAAAAAUACCUCACACAAAAAAUGAAAAUAAUAAAGAGGGGAUUUCUUUGUAUGAUAAAAAAAAUUCAUUCAUGUCAAUUAUGUCACAAGAAAAAAACUCGAGAUCAGUUGAAUUUCAAAUAGCGCGCU
rnacentral:lncRNA from 1 species